rnacentral:snRNA from 1 species
GGAUGUGAGGUGAUCUGGCUGUGACAUCUGUCACCCCAUUGAUAACCAGGGUUGAUUCAGCUGAAGAGGACGACCAUCCCCGAUGGAGGAGGACCGUUCUUCGGUCAAGGGUAUACGAGUAGCUGCGCUCCCCUGCUAGAACCUCCAAACAAGCUCUCAAGGUCCAUUUGUAGGAGAACAUAGGGUAGUUAAGUUUCCAAGACUCCAGACACAUCCAAAUGAGGCACUGCAUGUGGCAGUCUGCCUUUUUUU